AGAGAUAUUCUGACCUUCCAAGUGAGACUUGAACUUCAAGCUACAUGUUAAACAAAACUUAGAUUCUCUAAGACAUGAACAUGUAACAUCUUCUCCAUCCAGCAACUCCAACGAACUACAAUGAGAACGAUCUUUUUGAAGUACCCAAUCUACAACUCUGUAGACCCUUCUAUCUUAAGUUGAUGUGCCACUUCACCAACUAAGAUUCUGACGUUGAACCAAAU
rnacentral:lncRNA from 1 species